CCUACGGGUGGCAGCAGUGAGGAAUAUUGGUCAAUGGGCGCAAGCCUGAACCAGCCAAGUCGCGUGAGGGAAGACGGCCCUACGGGUUGUAAACCUCUUUUGCCGGGGAGCAACGGGCGCCACGUGUGGCGCCACUGAGAGUACCCGGAGAAAAAGCAUCGGCUAACUCCGUGCCAGCAGCCGCGGUAAUACGGAGGAUGCGAGCGUUAUCCGGAUUUAUUGGGUUUAAAGGGAGCGUAGGUGGGUUUGUAAGUCAGUUGUGAAAGUUUGCGGCUCAACCGUGAAAUUGCAGUUGAUACUGGCAGCCUUGAGUGCAGGUGAGGUAGGCGGAAUUCGUGGUGUAGCGGUGAAAUGCGUAGAUAUCACGAAGAACUCCGAUUGCGAAGGCAGCUGACUAAACUGCAACUGACAUUGAGGCUCGAAAGUGUGGGUAUCAAACAGGAUUAGAUACCCUGGUAGUC
rnacentral:rRNA from 1 species